GGGAGGGCCGCACGGCUGGUGCCCGAGGCAGCCGCCUGUGCUGGACUCCGGCGGCGUCUCUCCGUCUUCCCCGAAGGCUGGCCCACCAGUGUGGUCACAGGGCUGGCUCUCGGGGGCCCCCCCACCCCCGGCAGCCGGGCCGGGCGCCCCAGGACUGCGGUGUGAGGAGAGCUGACAGGGGCUGUGGCUCCUGGACGCGUCCCCCGCACCCUGCAUGGCUCAGCCGUCGUGUGAACGGGCGCCCAGGGGUGGGCCGGCAGGAACCUAGGCCAGUGCCGGCGGGCUCCGCGGGGAUGCGGUGAGCGGGCCCCGCCUCCAGGGCCGAGAGAAGCUCCGCGUCUCCUGCCGCCGCUCCGCCUGCGCCGUCUCCCAGUCUGGGGAGAUGCUAUAAGAUGGUGAAUAGAAAGGGUCUGAGAUGAGAACAUCACCGACUGUCAGCUCCUCGGAAGACGAUUCACCCACUGACCAAGCAGCGCUGGGUUUUCACCCACAGCGGUUAAACCUGAGCCCAGUCCAUCAGCGGACGGUGGAGAGGCCGCAGAGAGUGUCACAGCAUCACUUGGGUUCCUGCCUCCGAGACACCCUAACACCUGAGAGAGAGACCAGUGACCAGUAGGUUCAUCUCUUCAUCUGAAGCAACUGAAAGUUUCCACUUAGAUUCACACCCCAUGUUGCCAACCUCUCGACAAGGAUUAAUUUACCACGGCGUGGCUUUGUUCACAGCAAGGAGGUUUUCCUGAAGAGGCAGCUGAAGGAGCAAUGCUGGGUCUCCAAGCGGCGGAUCCUGCCUAGAUGGGAAGACCAGGUAUCCUGUCUGUGGGGCUGGGUGGACUCCAACGUGAACGGUUUCAGAUGCAGCACUUGCUGCUGAGCCUCGUGUUCGAGGCAGCGUCAGUCACGGUGGACAAGAAGUGGUGACCAUCCAGGUGGCAGGUGAACGGACAAGCAGCGUGCGGUCUGCACGUUUUAUAUAUGGUAUUUUAUCAAUAGUGUAUUCCAUUUAUACAUAAAUGCCUGUAUAGAGGGAACAUUACUCAGCCUUAAAAAGCAAUGAAAUUCUGACAGCUGCUACAACACCGACGGACGUGAGGAUGUGAUGCUCAGUGAAAUAAGCCAGAUACAGAAGAACAGACACUGCGAGUCCACUUCUGGGGGGUCCCUGGAGGAGUCAGGGUCACAGAGACAGAAAAUGGGAAAUUUCGUGGGUACCAGGGUCUGGGGGAGGAGGGUGGGAGGUUAGUGUUUAAUGGGCACAGAGUCUCCAUUUGGUAAAAUGAGAUGAUUCUGGAGAUGGUGGUGGUGACGGCUGCACAGCCCUGUGAGUGUGCUCACCGCCACAGAACCAGUCACUUGAAAAUGGUUGAAAGUGCAAGUCGCUCAGUCGUGCCCGAUUCUUUGUGACCCCACAGACUAUACAGUCCGUGGAAUUCUCCAGGCCAGGAUACUGGAGUGGGUAGCCUUUCCCUUCUCUAGCGGAUCUUCCCGACCCAGGAAUCGAACCCAGGUCUCCUGCAUUGCGGGUGGAUUCUUUACCAACUGAGCUAUCAGGGAAGCCCUGAUAAACGGUUAAAAUCAUCAGUUUUAUGGUGCAUUUAUUUUACCACAACAAAAAAAAG
ensembl:lncRNA